rnacentral:rRNA from 1 species
GUAGGUGGCAAGCGUUGUCCGGAAUUAUUGGGCGUAAAGCGCGCGCAGGCGGUUCUUUAAGUCUGAUGUGAAAGCCCACGGCUCAACCGUGGAGGGUCAUUGGAAACUGGAGAACUUGAGUACAGAAGAGGAAAGCGGAAUUCCACGUGUAGCGGUGAAAUGCGUAGAGAUGUGGAGGAACACCAGUGGCGAAGGCGGCUUUCUGGUCUGUAACUGACGCUGAGGCACGAAAGCGUGGGGAGCAAACAGGAUUAGAUACCCUGGUAGUCCACGCCGUAAACGAUGAGUGCUAAGUGUUAGGGGGUUUCCGCCCCCCUUAGUGCUGCAGCUAACGCAUUAAGCACUCCGCCUGGGAGUACGGCCGCAAGGCUG